UUGGUUGUUACAUCUAACUCAUUCGCUGCAGCUUCAUUACCAUUGCUAAUGCCUUCCCUUUUCCACUACUACCAUUCUGCUUCGGGUUUUGCAUACAUUACCGGGCGGAGGAGCAGCAGCAAACCGGCGGCGGGACCAGGAGAAUCGGGUACCCGGCAGUCGCGCCGAGGCAGGCCCGCCGGCCGGUCGUCUUUUCUUCAAGAAGUUGGAGAUAGGGUUUUUUUCCCCGUGUUGCGUGUUCCUUUCUGGAAGAUGGGUUUCGUGUUUGAUUAUAUAUGUGACAAUUGACUGGUAUUGUUGAAUGUGCGUUGUUGAAAGACCUGAGGAAGACAGGAAAAUUUAAAUAAUGUAUCAUAAUCAAUACUCAGUAUGCCAAUUAGAAUAAAGGAAUAUUCAAACCAGAUAAAUAUUUUAGGUUGUUUUUGCCCUUCAUUACCGGUAAUGAAGAUAAAACCCCAGAAGCCAAAGAUGAUAGGCGUCUAACGAGAUUUUGAAAAAAGCUUGUGAAGUUGCCCAGCUGAAAGAGGUGCUUUAUUUCUGAAAAUUUAUUGAUAAGAUAAAUAAAUACAUUAUUUGUGUGACUUAAAACUUAAAAAAUAUUUUCUUAUGAAUGUUGUACUAAAGUGUUUUUAUUGUAA